rnacentral:rRNA from 1 species
CCUAACACAUGCAAGUGGAGGGGUAGUGAGUGCUUGCACUCAUGAGACCGGCGCACGGGUGCGUAACGCGUAUGCAACCUAUCUUUUGCAGGGGGAUAGCCCAGGGAAACUUGGAUUAAUACCCCAUAGUAUGAUUGAUUGGCAUCAAUUAAUCAUUAAAACUACGGUGGCAAAAGAUGGGCAUGCGUUCUAUUAGCUAGUAGGUGUGGUAACGGCACACCUAGGCAACGAUAGAUAGGGGCCCUGAGAGGGGGAUCCCCCACACUGGUACUGAGACACGGACCAGACUCCUACGGGAGGCAGCAGUGAGGAAUAUUGGACAAUGGGCGGAAGCCUGAUCCAGCCAUGCCGCGUGCAGGAAGACUGCCCUAUGGGUUGUAAACUGCUUUUAUACGGGAAGAAACCUCCCCUCGUGAGGGGAGCUGACGGUACCGUAAGAAUAAGGACCGGCUAACUCCGUGCCAGCAGCCGCGGUAAUACGGAGGGUCCGAGCGUUAUCCGGAAUCAUUGGGUUUAAAGGGUCCGUAGGUGGAUGAUUAAGUCAGAGGUGAAAUCCUGCAGCUCAACUGUAGAAUUGCCUUUGAUACUGGUCAUCUUGAGUCGUCGUGAAGCAGUUAGAAUAUGUAGUGUAGCGGUGAAAUGCAUAGAUAUUACAUAGAAUACCGAUUGCGAAGGCAGAUUGCUAACGACGUACUGACACUGAUGGACGAAAGCGUGGGGAGCGAACAGGAUUAGAUACCCUGGUAGUCCACGCCGUAACGAUGGUCACUAGCUGCC